GAUGAACGCUGGCGGCGUGCCUAAUACAUGCAAGUCGAGCGAAGAGACGAGGAGCUUGCUCCCCUGACGUUUUCGGCGGAGGGGAGAGUAGCAUGUGGAACACGUCCCGUAAAGACUGGGAAAACUUCGGGAAAAUGGAUCUUAUACCGUAUAAUAUGAUGAAGCAUAUGGUUCAAUUAAAAAAGGCGGUUUUGCUGUUACCUAUAGGACGAUCCGUGUCGUAUUAGCUAGUUGGUAAGGUAACGGCUUACCAAGGCAACGAAGCGUAGCCGCCCUGAGAGGGUGAUCGGCCACCCGGGAACUGGAACACGGUCCAGACCCCUACGGGAGGCAGCAGUAGGGAACCUUCCGCAAUGGGGGAAAGCCUACCGGGGAAAGGCCGGGGGGUGGAGGAAGGUCUUCGGUCCGUAAAACUCGGUUAUUAGGGAAGAACAAAUGUGUAAGUAACUAUGCACGUCUUGACGGUACCUAAUCAGAAAGCCACGGCUAACUACGUG
rnacentral:rRNA from 1 species